rnacentral:rRNA from 1 species
CCUACGGGAGGCAGCAGUGGGGAAUAUUGGGCAAUGGAGGCAACUCUUACCCAGCAAUGCCGCGUGAAUGAAGAAGGUCUUCGGAUUGUAAAGUUCUUUAAUUGGGGACGAAAAAAAUGACGGUACCCAAGGAAUAAGCCCCGGCUAACUACGUGCCAGCAGCCGCGGUAAUACGUAGGGGGCAAGCGUUGUUCGGAGUGACUGGGCGUAAAGGCGGUGUUGGCGGUGUAGCAAGUUAGAAGUGAAAAACCUAGGGCUUAACUCAGGUGCUGCUUCUAAAACUGCUAGACUUGAGUGCAGUAGAGGAAAGUGGAAUUCCUGGUGUAGCGGUGGAAUGCGUAGAUAUUAGGAGGAACAUCAGUGGCGAAGGCGACUUUCUGGACUGUAACUGACGCUGAGGUACGAAAGUGUGGGGAGCAAACAGGAUUAGAUACCCUGGUAGUC